UUGCUGUAUACAUACUCAAUCGAAUACCCUCCAAAUCGGUUGUAUCGACCCUUUAUGAAUUAUGGACUGGAAGAAAACUGGAUCUUAAUUACCUCAAACCUUGGGGUUGUGCUGCCUAUGUUCAUGAGCCAGCCAUCAACAUGACAAAUUGGAUCCAGAAAGUAAAAAGAGUAUAUUUAUAAGAUACUUCCAACAUUCAAAAGGGUGGAUGUUCAUUGGUGAACAAGAGAGUGGGAGUAUAAUUGAAUUUGAAUCUCGGGAUGCCAC
rnacentral:lncRNA from 1 species